AAAAAUAAUAGUUAUUAUUAUAAUUUAAAAUUAAAAAAAAUCUAGAAAUGAUAUUAAAAUAAAGAAAUGACAAUGAUUGAUAAAUUAAAAGGUAAUAUUUUAAAAUUUAAAAUUUCAAAUUUAUGAAAUCGUAGAAUCUUAAAAUUGUGUUAUAUUUUUUUCCAUUUUACUAUUUAAAAUCACGAUUUUAUCUUUAUUUUACUUAAUUCCCAUUUUACUUACAUUUUAACUCAUUUUAGUGAUUUUAAAAUUGUUAAAUAAAUUGUAAAAUUGUAGGAGUCAACUCGAGAUUUUAACAACUAUAAGUUUGCAUCUUUUAGGGUUAGGGUUUAGGCAGUCAUUGUGGAUCCUUCAGAUCCUUAGAGAAAGAACAAGAAUGAAGUUAAAUUUGGGCUUUAUGCUACUCUUUGGCAUGUUUUUGGUUCAUGAUAUCCUCUGCACUUCUUUAUUUUUGUAUUAGUUUCGCUUACUUUCAUGAUUACAGUUUGUAGUUACCAUAAUUAGACAUGGACUGGUAUGGUUUGGAAUUAUGGUUUUAAGGUAACAGCUGUUAUUUAAAGAUUUUUUAGCUUCCCAUUAAUUUUACACUCGUUAUGUUAAGGCAACAGAGAAAAAAAUACACCUGUAAUGACUGUAAUGGCCUUUAUGUAAUGGCAACUACUGUUAAUUACUGUUAUCUCACCUUUUUUUCCCCUCAAAUGGAGGCAAUAGCAAUUCCUCAUCAUUUGUUUCUAGUUUGGGGAGUUUUAAGUUGCUAUGUCUCACUCUCUCUCAACUUUCCAUAUAAAAUUUUCUAU
rnacentral:misc_RNA from 1 species